GAGUUUUUGAUAUUUUUUUUUUUGCAUUACCCUGACCCUGAAUUUACAUCCUUGGAAGAAAAGUAUUAGUUGUAAUCUUUACAUUUUCUUCUAGGAAAUAUAAUUCUUCCUUGCCCUGAAUUAUCUUGGAGUCACCUUUAUUUGCCGCAUACUUUUCCCGUUAAAAUAAUAUAAUUCCGAAAAGUAUCAUCAAAUAAAUUGUUGAACUGUUGCAUCUCCCUGGACUCUGGAGUGACUUGUACGAUACAUAUUAUAUGUCCUCACACAAGUUAAUGAAAUAACAUUUGAUUAAGUAGCCUAUUUGAACAUUAAAAUUGAGCACAGCCAGAAACAUGGAGGCCCAUCAAUAUUUAUCAAAUUUUGAGCUAUCAUAUAUGAACUUAUAUAUGUAUAUAUAUAGAAAGAGAUGGUUCAAUUGCUUCUUAUAUAUAUAUUUUUUCGAUGAUAUUGUGCUAUUCCAGUUGGGCAUAACUUGAUAACCAUCUCAUUUUUUCUGUUCAGGUUUUUGAAUCAUUUGGCUCUGUAGAGCUCGUGUAGUCGACUGGUAAUGGCAAAAGUUAUGAUUUUGUUUAGUUUGCACGUCUUGAAGAUGCCAGAGCUGCAGAAAGUUUAAAUGGACAACUGGAAAUUGCAGGUCGAGCAAUAAAGGUUUUGAUGAUAGAUUGGUAAAUGGAGGAAGCAUAUUGGAAUUGAUUGGUAAAGAGAGGAGGAAUGGAAAGAGUCCCGAAGAAGUUGAAAAGAUUUAUACUUGAGGCAUUUGAAGUUGCUAGUAUGCUCAAGGCAUUUGAAGUUGCUAGUUUCUCAUCUUUUUGCUAUUACUGUUCAUGUUUGGUUAAAUUUGUUAGCUACUUUGAUUUGGUAGUUAGUUUAGUUUGGUUGGAUUUGUUAAGUACUUUGAUUUGUAUGAAAGAAUAGUUUAUUGGGAUGUUUAAUAUCUAAAAAGUAUAUUUUCAAUUU